rnacentral:rRNA from 1 species
AUUGAACGCUGGCGGCAGGCCUAACACAUGCAAGUCGAGCGAGCGGCGGACGGGUAAGUAAUAUCUGGGUGACUGGCUGAUGGAGAGGGAUAACGACUAGAGACGGUAGCUCAUACCGCAUACCAUCAGAUGUGCCUAGAUGGGAUUAGCUAGUGGGUGGGGUAACGGCUCACCUAGGCGACGAUCCCUAGCUGGUCUGAGAGGAUGACCAGUCACACUGGAACGGAGACACGGUCCAGACUCCUACGGGAGGCAGCAGUGGGGAAUAUUGGACAAUGGGCGAAAGCCUGAUGCAGCCAGGCCGCGUGUGUGAAGAAGGCCUUCGGGUUGUAAAGCACUUUCAGCGGGGAGGCGUUACCAGCAGAAUAAGCACCGGCUAACUCCGUGCCAGCAGCCGCGGUAAUAC